rnacentral:rRNA from 1 species
GGGCUUUUCGGGUCUUCCGCGCCGUAGCUAACGCAUUAAGUGCCCCGCCUGGGGAGUACGGCCGCAAGGCUAAAACUCAAAGGAAUUGACGGGGGCCCGCACAAGCGGCGGAGCAUGCGGAUUAAUUCGAUGCAACGCGAAGAACCUUACCAAGGCUUGACAUGUGCCGGUCGGCUCCGGAGACGGGGUUUCCUCCUUGUGGGGCCGGUUCACAGGUGGUGCAUGGUUGUCGUCAGCUCGUGUCGUGAGAUGUUGGGUUAAGUCCCGCAACGAGCGCAACCCUUGUCCCGUGUUGCCAGCACGUUGUGGUGGGGACUCGCGGGAGACUGCCGGGGUCAACUCGGAGGAAGGUGGGGAUGACGUCAAAUCAUCAUGCCCCUUAUGUCUUGGGCUUCACGCAUGCUACAAUGGCCGGUACAGAGGGCUGCGAUACCGUGAGGUGGAGCGAAUCCCUUAAAGCCGGUCUCAGUUCGGAUCGGUGUCUGCAACUCGACACCGUGAAGUUGGAGUCGCUAGUAAUCGCAGAUCAGCAACGCUGCGG